rnacentral:rRNA from 1 species
AUUGAACGCUGGCGGCAGGCCUAACACAUGCAAGUCGAGCGGCAGCGGGAGGAAGCUUGCUUCCUCGCCGGCGAGCGGCGGACGGGUGAGUAAUGUCUGGGAAACUGCCCGAUGGAGGGGGAUAACUACUGGAAACGGUAGCUAAUACCGCAUAACGUCUACGGACCAAAGUGGGGGACCUUCGGGCCUCACACCAUCGGAUGUGCCCAGAUGGGAUUAGCUGGUAGGUGGGGUAAUGGCUCACCUAGGCGACGAUCCCUAGCUGGUCUGAGAGGAUGACCAGCCACACUGGAACUGAGACACGGUCCAGACUCCUACGGGAGGCAGCAGUGGGGAAUAUUGCACAAUGGGCGCAAGCCUGAUGCAGCCAUGCCGCGUGUGUGAAGAAGGCCUUCGGGUUGUAAAGCACUUUCAGCGAGGAGGAAGGCGUUGUAGUUAAUAGCUGCAGCGAUUGACGUUACUCGCAGAAGAAGCACCGGCUAACUCCGUGCCAGCAGCCGCGGUAAUACGGAGGGUGCAAGCGUUAAUCGGAAUUACUGGGCGUAAAGCGCACGCAGGCGGUUUGUUAAGUCAGAUGUGAAAUCCCCGGGCUUAACCUGGGAACUGCAUUUGAAACUGGCAGGCUAGAGUCUCGUAGAGGGGGGUAGAAUUCCAGGUGUAGCGGUGAAAUGCGUAGAGAUCUGGAGGAAUACCGGUGGCGAAGGCGGCCCCCUGG